rnacentral:lncRNA from 1 species
GUUGAACUUGUUCUGAAUGAAAUAAUGCCCAUGUAACACUUUAACAGGAAUCAACAAGGGAAACAACUUUCAUUUCUGAGCUGCUGAAUUUGCACUCUAAAACCUCUAAGGCGAGGCUUAUUUUAACAGAAUUGAGACUUAAACAAACAAACAAACAACAACUACAUGCAGAACUGUGCGAAGAGAAUUAUCCCAGACUCAUAUGAUAAUGAUUAAUAGCCUCAGAUCUAAAAGUGAUAGCCUCAAAUCUAAAAAGGAUGAAUCCAGUUUUAACUUCAGAGUGAAAAGGGAAUAACGUCAAUUUUUUUCCUGAUAUUCCACAGUAUUAUUCAUUUAAAGUCCUAUUUCAACUUCAGGAUCAUCUCAGUCUAUUCAGAUUGCAGGAUCCAGGAAGGCAGGAACCUGGCUGCCUUUAUUACUACUGGAAGCACAUAGAAUAGGACCAGACAAAAACGACAAAGUGAGAAGAUGGCUGCCUGCAAGCCAGGAAGAGGGUCCUCACCAGGAAACAAAUUUUGGAGUUGAACAAGCCUCCAGAAUUGGACUUCAGCUUCUGUACUGAAUCCGAGGACCUCAACCUCUGUACUGAAUCAACCUCUGUACCGAAUCUACUUAUGCUUGCAGCUCCUGUCAUUCCAGUUGAAGACAGACCACAUGACAUUCUACAGAUGGCUGCAUAAAAAGGAACUAACAAAUGAUCCCUUUUAGAAGAGUGAAGGCCUCCUGGCAAUGUUCUCUUUAACCCAUGAUGUGAGUUAAGAGGAAUCAACCAAUGUUUUGUUUUUGACUGAUUAUGAGGCAACGUACAUACCAUUAAAG